AACGAACGCUGGCGGCAUGCCUAACACAUGCAAGUCGAACGAGACCUUCGGGUCUAGUGGCGCACGGGUGCGUAACGCGUGGGAACCUGCCCUUAGGUUCGGAAUAACUCCCCGAAAGGGGUGCUAAUACCGGAUAAUGUCUUCGGACCAAAGAUUUAUCGCCUUUGGAUGGGCCCGCGUUGGAUUAGCUAGUUGGUAGGGUAAAAGCCUACCAAGGCGACGAUCCAUAGCUGGUCUGAGAGGAUGAUCAGCCACCCUGGGAGGGGGGCACGGCCCAAACUCCUACGGAGGGGAGCAGGGGGGAAUAUUGAAAAAGGGGGGAAGGCCGAAGCCAGCAGGGCCGGGAAGGGGAUUAGGGCCGAAGGGUUUGAAACCGCUUUUCCCCGGGGGGAAAAGACGGGACCCGGAGAAAAAGCCCCGGGUAACCCCCUG
rnacentral:rRNA from 1 species